UACGUAGGUGGCAAGCGUUGUCCGGAUUUAUUGGGCGUAAAGCGCGCGCAGGCGGUCUUUUAAGUCUGAUGUGAAAUCUUGCGGCUCAACCGCAAGCGGUCAUUGGAAACUGGGGGACUUGAGUACAGAAGAGGAAAGCGGAAUUCCACGUGUAGCGGUGAAAUGCGUAGAGAUGUGGAGGAACACCAGUGGCGAAGGCGGCUUUCUGGACCGAUAUUGACGCUGAGGAGCGAAAGCCAGGGGAGCAAACGGG
rnacentral:rRNA from 1 species